ACACUUGUGAAGAAAUUUGCUGGAAAUUAAUGGAAUUGCUGACUUUUUACAGUCAGGCUGCCUACCUGAAAUUUUGGACUUAGUUCUUAAAGGUAAAAAGGUGCAAUUUUGAAGUGCUCAAAAUCUGUUCUUGUAUUUCAUAAUCGAGAACUUCUGUGUCAAGUAAGAAAUACUCUUCACACACUAUAUUUUUUUUGAGGGAAACAGAUAGUGCUAUUCAGAAAUAGUCAUUCUGAAAUUUCUUAUUAAUUGGUCACCAAAGGGUGGACAUAUAGAGGAGAACAUUUACAUGCAUGGUGUUUUAAUUAUAAAAUUAAUUUUUAUCUAGAAAUAUUAAAGUAAUUUAUUAAAUACAGACUGAUUAUGGAUUUUUAGCAGACAAAACCAAUUACUGUUUACUCUGUGCCUUGAGGCCUUGCUCUUUUCACAUACUAUUCUUUUUUUUUUUCCUGAGUUUCGCUCUUGCUGCCCAGGCUGGAGUGCAAUGGUACAAUCUUGGCUCACUGCAGCCUUUGCCUCCUGGGUUCAAGUGAUUCUCUUGCCUCAGCCUCCUGAGUAGCUGGGACUACAGGCAUGUGCCACCACACCCGGCUAAUUUUUGUAUUUUUGGUAGAGACAGGUUUCAUCGUCUUGGUCAGGCUGGCCUCGAACUCCUGACUGCAGGUGGUCCACCUGCUUCGGCCUCCCAAAGUGCUGGGAUCACAGGCAUGAGCCACCGCACCUGGCCUUCACACACUAUCGUUUAAUCCUCAAUAUCUGUAAACUUUGGUGACACAUCCAUUUAAAAUUCAAAAAACCAUCUUGGCUUAGCACAUGACUGAAAAUGAAAAAAUAUCAAGGCAACCACAACAUGUCAUGCUUUUUCUUCUUUUGAAACAUCAUCACAGUUGAUAAUUGGUUUACUGUUUAUGACUUUUCUGCUAGACUGUAGUCUCCAUGAAAGCAGGAUACUUACUAGGUUUUUCUUAUUCACCAUGGUAUCCCCACCUAGCACAGUUUCCAGCAACAUUGAGUAGUCAGUAUGUAUUAAUCAAAUAAAUAAAAUAAUAAAUAAAUAAAUGUGUUCAUAA
rnacentral:lncRNA from 1 species